AUCGCCACGGUUCGAGGGGCAAGCAAGCCAGCCAUCGGCGAAUGCGUGCGGUGGCCGGAGCGCGCGCGGACCUCGGCAGCUCCCUGUUCCUGUCGAAGCCUGGGCCGCCGGACUUCGGUUGCGCCCGCUGCACCGAUCGGGUCCGACGGCCGCCUCCGGCACCGCUUUCUGCUCCCAGGGGUAGACCACCCAAAAGGCAGCCAUGACGGAAGAGAGCAUGAUGAGCGGCGUGGAGUCGAGCGCAGCAGCGCCGGGAGGGGCGCCAGCGGGUCCCUCGCGUCCGUGGCUCUCCUCCAAAGGUAUCCUGCUCCUCCUCUGCGUCUUCCUCAUCUGCAUGUGCGCCAUCAUUGGCCUGGUGGUCUACCUCGUCAUCCUCAAAGGCAAAUCGCUGCCGGGAGGAGCACCAGCGGAGCCAGAAGGUCCUGACCGAUAAGGUCAGAGCCGUAGAAGUGACGCAGUUCGUCAACAGACCUGCGCUCUCUUGGGAGGGUGGCUGGAGGACCAGUGGCACCAUCGAAACAGCGACAUUCGAAAGUGGCCCGACACUUGGGGAAAUGGAUUCCCGGGUCAAUCGCAACGCUCCCCAGUUGUACCCUGGCCUCACAGCUAGAUGAAUAAAACGCUCUAAGAAGCAGCAUA